UGGGGCAAGGACCGGCCACGGCCUCCAUGCUUCUAGUCCCUUCCUUGAAGCGAUCGGGUAAAUCAUUAUGACGCGCCUCAAGCAAGGGACUUCUAGCUGGUGGCUUCCAGC
rnacentral:pre_miRNA from 1 species